AUUGAACGCUGGCGGCAUGCUUUACACAUGCAAGUCGAACGGUAACAGGCCUUCGGGUGCUGACGAGUGGCGCACGGGUGAGUAAUGCAUCGGAACGUACCCAGAGGUGGGGGAUAACGCAGCGAAAGCUGUGCUAAUACCGCAUGUGAUCUGAGGAUGAAAGCGGGGGACCGCGCAGCAAUGUUUGGCCUCGCGCCUUUGGAGCGGCCGAUGUCGGAUUAGCUAGUUGGUGGGGUAAAGGCCUACCAAGGCGACGAUCCGUAGCUGGUCUGAGAGGACGACCAGCCACACUGGGAGUGAGACACGGCCCAGACUCCUACGGGAGGCAGCAGUGGGGAAUUUUGGACAAUGGGCGCAAGCCUGAUCCAGCAAUGCCGCGUGCGGGAAGAAGGCCUUCGGGUUGUAAACCGCUUUUGGCAGGAACGAAACGGUGUCCGCUAAUACCGGGCGCUAAUGACGGUACCUGCAGAAUAAGCACCGGCUAACUACGUG
rnacentral:rRNA from 1 species